CGGACGGGUGAGUAACACGUGGAUAACCUACCUAUAAGACUGGGAUAACUUCGGGAAACCGGAGCUAAUACCUGAUAAUAUAUUGAACCGCAUGGUUCAAUAGUGAAAGACGGUUUUGCUGUCACUUAUAGAUGGAUCCGCGUCGCAUUAGCUAGUUGGUAAGGUAACGGCUUACCAAGGCAACGAUGCGUAGCCGACCUGAGAGGGUGAUCGGCCACACUGGAACUGAGACACGGUCCAG
rnacentral:rRNA from 1 species